GACACAGCAAACGAGGAAGAUGUC
rnacentral:siRNA from 1 species